rnacentral:tRNA from 1 species
GUGUAAGAGGUUUCGUAGGUGAUUUGAAGUCAUCUUUUUCAUAUUUAUUUAUGAUGCACGCU